UACAUUUCCCAUCUCUCUCCUAUCUAAACUACAUUUCCCAGGGCCCCAAAGGACCAAGAGGAAUCAAAGGAGCUCCUGGAGACAGAGGCCAGAUCGGAAGCAGGGGAGAAGAUGGGGCACCAGGAAAUGGAACUGAAGGUUGCCAUGGUUUCCAGGGUUACCCCGGCCAACGAGGGGGCAUUGGAGAGGCGGUGAGUUCACCUUUCACCUAU